rnacentral:rRNA from 1 species
CCUACGGGUGGCAGCAGCAAGGAAUUUUCCGCAAUGGGCGCAAGCCUGACGGAGCAACGCCGCGUGCGGGAUGACGCUUUUCGGAGUGUAAACCGCUGUUCGUGGGGACGAAGCACUGACGGUACCCACGGAGGAAGGCCCGGCUAACUACGUGCCAGCAGCCGCGGUAAUACGUAGGGGUCGAGCGUUGUCCGGAGUUACUGGGCGUAAAGCGCGUGCAGGUGGCUCAUUACGCCCGGCGUGAAAGCCCCCGGCUCAACCGGGGAGGGUCGUCGGGGACGGAUGGGCUUGAGGGUCGCAGGGGCUGGUGGAAUUCCCGGUGUAGUGGUGAAAUGCGUAGAGAUCGGGAGGAACACCCGUGGCGAAGGCGGCCAGCUGGGCGACACCUGACACUGAGACGCGAAGGCGUGGGGAGCGAACGGGAUUAGAUACCCUAGUAGUC